AAAGGUAGUGUGGGGGCAAUUAGAGGCGAGACCGGAGCUCAGAGCAGCACUGAAAACUGAAACUGUCGCUGCAACUUGACGCAUGGAGCGGAUCCACCACACGUUUCUGGACUGAAGAGACUCCCUUUUUUCUUUUUCCUUUGUGCACUGAAUAUGCUUUGCCUAAACUGGCUGCCACUUCAUGCUGCAGAGGCGUUUUAGGAUUCCUGCUUUGAUCCAGUUUAUUUUUUUUUAUGUGAAUUCAAAAACUUUUCUUAUUAGCCUGUUGUUUUUAUUGCCCUCCAGCUGCUCCAGAUCGCGUCUGGGGCCUCUAUCCAUUAGUAAGCACAAUCCAUUUCAUCAGGUUACACGCGGCAGCGGGAGCUACGUGACUGCACUCAUUCUCUGAACCGGGAGCGGAUGAGUUGGAAAUUCCCACUCAGCAAAUUUUUUUUCUCUUUUUCUGAGCAGUUUUGCACUUUUUUGUUGGAUUGUUUUAUUGUGUGCGCCGGGAGCCAUCAACCCCCUCUCUCCACUCGCAGACAUCGCGAAAUGAAACUCGGUCUUGUCAUCCAGACUGCGGUGGCGCUUCAUCUGCUGCUCUCACCUGCACAGAGUCUUCCCGUGGCAAGCAUAACCAAUACAACUGAAGUCAUCCCUGUUCCUCCCCCACAGACUGUGCAACUGGGACUCUUUCACACAUAUACUCCCACAGUGUUGAUGUUCCAAGAAGUGUGGGGUCGCAGCUUCUGCCGGACCAUUGAGAAGCUGGUGGAGGUGGUGCAGGAGUACCCGACAGAGGUGGAGCACAUCUACAGCCCCGCCUGUGUGCCACUGGUGAGGUGUGCAGGUUGCUGCGGGGACGAAAACCUGGAGUGCCAUCCCACCCAAACCACAAACGUCACCAUGCAGCUGUUGAAAAUCAGGCCAUCAGAGCCGGGUAAAGAAUAUGUUGAGAUGACGUUUGUGGAGCAUCAGACAUGUGAAUAGUCAGGAAACCUGUUGCAAAGGUUGAAAGGAAAAGGCAAAGAGGAAAAGGAAGGAAGAGAAAGGACAGACAAAAACCAAAAGAAUGUGACAGGUGCCAGAACCCUCGCAGGUAACUGCAGUGGCGGCCCAACCCCCCCGUUGCAGUGUGGCUCACUGUUUAUUUCCAACCCAGCGACAGCAUCCAGAGUCUCCUCUGCUCAUCUUUCAAUACUGUGUCUGCAGCCAGAGACUCAAACAGCUGGGUUGUUUUGCUGACCUGCCCUCAUGCUGACGGGCAGAGCGUUUGCAAUGACAAGUUUCAACAGGAAGUGUGUUCUGAUUGGUGGAAACACUGGUGUUACACACCUGACACAAUGGACAUCCCUGGGAGCCAGUGCAAUGUCGAACCAAACAGACCGAUGACGCCUUCUCUUUUAUACCAGUUAUUACUGUAUCACUUAUUGUUAAUUUGGUCAUUUCUGUGGUAUUUAUAGGUGGUUACACUUGUUUAAAAUCUAUAUUUAUUGAUACAGCUGAAUAUAUUUGGACUAGCAACCUUUAAAAAGUUUGUCAUCUUUUGUUCGAAUAUUAUCCAAGAAGCCUUGACUUGUCACAGCAGCAUGUAUUGGACUGAGUGUGCAGCUGCUGUGUACAUGUAAUAAUGAAAUGUCUCCCUCUAGUGUUUGUGGAAACAGUGCUCAAAGCUGCUCUACAUAGAUGUAUGGACGUAGGACAGUAUUGUCAGUCACAAUUACUACAUCAGCUUAUUAGAAUCUUAUACAUGUCACUUAUAAAUCCUCUCCCUCUCUAGCCCUAUGUGGCCAGUCAUGGGUAUGAAGUGUUUUACUGUCAAUUCAGACAUAAAUAAGAGCAAUAUUUAUCAGAAAAUCUAUCAACUGAAGACACGUCCACAGAAGAUUAAGCAUAUGAUAUAUCAAACUGUCAAAAAUCUAAAUUGUUCUUUGAAAUCUGUCUCUUUCUUUAUUGUUUUGGAGGGUUGGAUCACAACAGAUAACAUCAGUUUAUUUCAAAUCACACCAGGACGUGUGUCGUGGGCUGCAGAAGGGACGUCAGCACGAGCAGAUUAAUACUACUUUAAUCAAUAUGCUCAAGCAGCACUCAUUCGGCAUUGGUGCCUACUAGAGUAUCAGUUGCAAUUAUUCUCUUCUUAUUUUACUGUGAUUGCAAGUUUCUCAGAGAUAUAAAAGCAUUUCUGGGCUUUGUGUUGUUAAACAGCACACGUGUGUCCACCUUGGUGACAGAGGACUCCCAGAAGCCCACACCACACGGGUCGUCCUUGGUCUGUUUUUGGAAACACUGCAGUAAGGAAGGGAUUAUGGUUAAGGAAUGUUCCUUUGUUGUUGUUUUUUUCAUGUACUACACAAAGAAAAUCUCUAUGAAAACGAGCAAAGUAACAUUUCUACUGUGUUAGUAUUUUUAUUUCAUUUAAAUAUUUAUUUUGUAAUAAAAUUGUUAUGGUUGU